rnacentral:snRNA from 1 species
GUACUCGCUUCGGUAGUACAUAUGCAAAAAUUGGAACGAUACAGAGAAGAUAAGCAUGGCCCCAUGCGCAAGGAUGAUAUUGUCAGGUCAGGCCAGAUCAGAUCUGU